UAAACCGAAAUCUGCUCACCCCUAGUUAAUAGGACGAAAUACAGGUAAACUUGUGUAGGCUAGGUAGUAAAACUUGGUGGCGGCAAGGGUCUUGCCUAGGUUUAAAAUUUCCUUAAUUUGGCUUAGGAUCAAACUUGUCACAAUAAAAGAAAUUAUCGUUGAAUGAACCAGAUAUCAUAAUAAAUUAUCAUGUAUCUUCCUCUUUCAUUCUAUUUUCCUUACAAGUUGUAUUUCCUUCCCAAUAAUGUUUUCCCACUCUUUGUUUUAUUCUAUGUCCGUGCAUACUUGUCAAGUGCAAGUGCACUUAGCUAUUAUUUGACAUUGUAAAGUUCAUGCUAGAUGUUGUUAAGUGUGUUUUAUUUUUG
rnacentral:misc_RNA from 1 species